rnacentral:rRNA from 1 species
UACGGAGGGUGCAAGCGUUAAUCGGAAUUACUGGGCGUAAAGGGUGCGUAGGUUGUUUUUUAAGUUAUCUGUAAAAUCCCUGGGCUCAACCUGGGCAAGUCAGAUAAGACUGAGAGACUCGAGUAUAGGAGAGGGUAGUGGAAUUUCCGGUGUAGCGGUGAAAUGCGUAGAGAUCGGAAGGAACACCAGUGGCGAAGGCGGCUACCUGGCCUAAUACUGACACUGAGGCACGAAAGCGUGGGGAGCAAACAGG